rnacentral:rRNA from 1 species
CUACGGGAGGCAGCAGUGGGGAAUAUUGCACAAUGGGCGCAAGCCUGAUGCAGCGACGCCGCGUGAGGGAUGACGGCCUUCGGGUUGUAAACCUCUGUUAGCAGGGAAGAAGAGAGAUUGACGGUACCUGCAGAGAAAGCGCCGGCUAACUACGUGCCAGCAGCCGCGGUAAUACGUAGGGCGCGAGCGUUGUCCGGAAUUAUUGGGCGUAAAGAGCUUGUAGGCGGUUUGUCGCGUCUGCUGUGAAAGGCCGGGGCUUAACCCCGUGUAUUGCAGUGGGUACGGGCAGACUAGAGUGCAGUAGGGGAGACUGGAAUUCCUGGUGUAGCGGUGGAAUGCGCAGAUAUCAGGAGGAACACCGAUGGCGAAGGCAGGUCUCUGGGCUGUAACUGACGCUGAGAAGCGAAAGCAUGGGGAGCGAACAGGAUUAGAUACCCUGGUAGUCCAUGCCGUAAACGUUGGGCACUAGGUGUGGGGGACAUUCCACGUUUUCCGCGCCGUAGCUAACGCAUUAAGUGCCCCGCCUGGGGAGUACGGCCGCAAGGCUAAAACUCAAAGAAAUUGACGGGGGCCCGCACAAGCGGCGGAGCAUGCGGAUUAAUUCGAUGCAACGCGAAGAACCUUACCAAGGCUUGACAUAUACUGGACCGCAUCAGAGAUGGUGUUUCCCUUCGGGGCUGGUAUACAGGUGGUGCAUGGUUGUCGUCAGCUCGUGUCGUGAGAUGUUGGGUUAAGUCC